rnacentral:lncRNA from 1 species
UUGUUGCAAACUGGACAAGAAAACCUGUUUCUGUUUCCCCUUUGCCCUGAAGCAUUUGCAAUGGAACAACAGGGGAACAAGGCAUGGGUUUCGAGAUUUCUAUUUCAUCAGUCAGCCCAUGUUGCCAAGGUCAUAUCACAUUGAAAUACUGGUCAAUCGAUUAAGCUCAGAUGGACAGGGUCAUAUCCUAAUGAAAAAAAGUAUCGUGGCUCCAACUGGUUGAGGACGUCUUCUUCUCUGUCCCCCUUUUUUU